rnacentral:sRNA from 1 species
CUGAAUGGUGCUCCUCGAUCUGGUCCGAUUGAUGACUUCGCAAUCUCAAUCAUCCCAGGUCAGGGCACCAUUCUUCAUUCACGACACGAAAUCAGCGUGAAAGCACGAG